GCACGUGACCACGGAGAAGAGAGUGAGCGCGACUCAAACCGUAGCGGCCGACUUGCCCUGGGUGUGUGGCCCCAGGGAGGUCUUCAAGGAAUGCGUGAGCAGCAGCUGUGCCGAACUCAAGUGCGGCAGGGAAG